rnacentral:rRNA from 1 species
UACGUAGGCAGCGAGCGUUGUUCGGAAUUACUGGGCGUAAAGAGUGUGUAGGCGGUGCUCUAAGUUCGGUGUGAAAUCUCCCGGCUCAACUGGGAGGGUGCGCCGAAUACUGAAUGACUCGAGUGCGGGAGAGGAAAGUGGAAUUCCUGGUGUAGCGGUGAAAUGCGUAGAUAUCAGGAGGAACACCGGUGGUGUAGACGGCUUUCUGGACCGUAACUGACGCUGAGACACGAAAGCGUGGGUAGCAAACAGG